rnacentral:rRNA from 1 species
GCAGCCGCGGUAAGACGUAGGACGCAAGCGUUAUCCGGAUUUACUGGGGCGUUAAAGCGCCUGUAGNCGGUCAAGUAAGUCGGAUGUGAAAGCCCCGGUGCUCAACGCGGGGAAGCCAUUCGAUACUGCGUGACUAGAGAACGGCAGAGGGAAACGGAAUUUCUGGUGUAGCGGUAAAAUGCGCAGAGAUCAGAAAGAACACCGAUGGCGAAGGCAGUUUCCUAGGCCGCAUCUGACGCUGAGAGGCGAAAGCUAGGGGAGCAAACAGGAUUAGAGACCCUGGUAGUCCUAGCUGUAAACGAUGGAUGCUAGGUGUGGGCCGGAAAGGUCCGUGCCGUAGUUAACGCGAUAAGCAUCCCGCCUGGGGAGUACGGCCGCAAGGCUAAAACUCAAACGAAUUGACGGGGACCCGCACAAGCAGCGGAGCGUGUGGUUUAAUUCGAUGCUACACGCAGAACCUUACCUGGGCUUGACAUGUAGGUGGUAGUGAAGUGAAAGCGGAGCGACCCUUCGGGGAGCCUACACAGGUGCUGCAUGGCUGUCGCCAGCUCGUGCCGUGAGGUGUCGGGUUAAGUCCCGUAACGAGCGCAACCCUUGUCCUUAGUUACAAGUGUCUAAGGAGACUGCCGGUGACAAACCGGAGGAAGGUGGGGAUGACGUCAAGUCAGCAUGGCCCUUAUGUCCAGGGCGACACACACGCUACAAUGGUCGGUACAAUGGGCAGCGCAGCCGCGAGGUGAAGCGAAUCCCAACAAAGCCGAUCCCAGUUCGGAUUGCAGGCUGCAACCCGCCUGCAUGAAGCCGGAGUUGCUAGUAACCGCGCGUCAGCCAUAGUGCGGUGAAUACGUUCCCGGGUCUUGUACACACCGCCCGUCACGUCAUGGGAGUUGGUAACGCCUGAAGCCGGUAGUCUGACCUAACGGAGACGCCGUCGAAGGCGGGACUGGCGACUGGGACGAAGUCGUAACAAG